rnacentral:lncRNA from 10 species
CUGGAGGGCCUCACUGUUGGAAGCUGCAGGGAUCUCGGGAGGAGAGGGCCAAGGUCAUCAGCUGGCCUAAGGAUGAAACAGAUUGGUAAACUAGCCAGAAAUGGAAAAGGAGGUCGAGACAGAGACUGCCCCAGCUGGCCCCAGGUAUCCCUAGGGGUUUGGGAGGCCACGCGCAAGCGCAAGACAGCACAUAUGCCCUGGAGAGAGUCUGAUGCACGUCUCCCUGCCCAACAGAACUGAAGUGCGUGCCCUGAUAGGAACCACAGGCAGAAAGCAAAGGUAGGGCCAGCCUGCAGACUGCCCGGGCAGAGGUGCUGACUCAGCAUUUGGGCCCGGGCAGAGCCGCUGACUCAGCAUAUUUGGGCACAAGUUCUGACCAACCACCAACUGAUGUCUCAGCUUGGCUGACCCAGGGGUGACUCCUUCUAAAUAAAAAUGAGAAUUGGGCCAGGCGCGGUGGCUCACACCUGUAAUCCCAGCAUUUUGGGAGGCAGAGGCGGGCAGAUCACUUGAGCCCAGGUGUUCAAGACCACCGUGGGCAACAUGGAGAAACCCUGUCUCUACCAAAAAAAAAAAAAAAAAAAAAAAAUUAGCUGGGUGUGGUGGCACAAGCCUGUAGUUCCGGCUACUCGGGAGGCUGAGGUGGGAGGAUGGCUUGAGCCCGGGAGGCUGUAGUGAGCUGAAACUGCACCACUGCAGUCCAGCAUCAGUGACAGCGCAAGACCUUGUCUCCGAGGGGAAACAUGAAAGAAAGAAAAGAAAAACAACAAUUAAGAACAAAACAAGGCCAGGCGCGGUGGCUCGCGCCUUUAAUCCCAGCACUUUGGGAGGCCAAGGUGGGCAGAUCACCUGAGGUCAGGAGAUCGAGACCAGCCUGGCCAACAUGGUAAAACCCCGUCUUUACUAAAAAUACAAAAUACAAAAAUUAGCCGGGCGUGGUGGCGGGUGCCUGUAAUCCCAGCUACUCCAGAGGCUGAGGCAGGGGAAUCGCUUGAACCCAGGAGGCGGAGGCUGCAGUCAGCCGAGAUCGCACCACUGCACUCCAGCCUGGGCGACAGUGAGAGACUCCAUCUCAAAAACAUAACAAAAUUAAAAACAAAUAAAUAAAAAUACAAUGUCUACUUUCUGACAACAAAAGCUUGCCAGACAUGUGAAGAAACAGGAAAGUGUGACCUACGCUGAGGACAAAAAGGAGUCAACAGAACCUUUCUGUGGAGGAAUGGAUCCGGAUGUUGGACCAAAAGGCUUCAAAGCAGCUACUAAAAACAGGUUCAAGCUGGGCUGGGUGGUGCAUGUCUGUGGUCCCAGAUACACUGGAGGCUGAAGAGGGAGGAUCAUCUGAGCUCUGGAAGUUGAGCUACCAUCCCACCACUGCACUCCAGCCUGGGCAACAGAGCAAUACCAUGUCUCGAUUAAAAAAAAAAAAUAGAGCGGCUGAGGCAGGAGGAUCACUUGAGCUCAGGAGUUCAGACCACCAGCCUGGGCAACAAAGCGAAACAUUAUCUCUACAAAAAAAAUAAUAAUAAUAAUAAUUAGCCAAGUGUGCUGGUGUGCACCUGUGGUCCCAGCUACUCAGGGGGCUGAGGCAGGAGGAUCACUUGAGCCCAGGAGGUCAAGGCUGUUGUGAACUGUGAUGACACCACUGCACUCUAGCUUGGGUGACACAGCAAGACCUUGUCUCAAUUAAAAACAAAACAAAAAAAAAGGUUCAAAGAGCUAGAAGAAACCACAUCUCAAGAAUUAAAGCCAAGUAUGACGACAGUGACCCACUAAUAAUGGCUCUUAAUGAACAGACAAAAAUGAUAAGAAUUCAAAUUGGUUAGGCACAGUGGCUCACGUCUGUAAUCUCAGCACUUUGAAAGGCUGAGGCGGGUGGACUGCUUGAACCCAGGAGUUUGACACCAGCCUGGGCAACAUUACAAAACCCUGUCUCCACCAAAAACAAAAACAAAAACAAAAAUUACCUGGGCAUGGUGGCGUGCACCUAUAAUCCCAGCUACUCAGGAGGCUGAGGUGGGAGGAUUGCUUGAGCCCAGGAAGCAUAGGUUGCAAUGAGCCAAGAUUGAGCCACUGCACUCCGGCCAAGACUUACUGUAAAAAAACUCAAAGCACGGUGGCUCAUGCCUGUAAUACCAGCACUUUGGGAGGCCAAGGUGGGUGGAUCACUUGAGGUCAUGGGUUUGAGACCAGCCUGGCCAACAUGGUGACACCCUGCCUCUACUAAAAAUACACAAAUUAGGGGCUGGGCACAGUGGCUCAUGCCUGUAAUCCUUGCACUUUGGGAGGCCGAGGCAGGUGGAUCACCUGAGGUCAGGAGUUUGAGACCAGCCUGGCUAACAUGAUGAAACCCAUCUCUACUAAAAAUACAAAAAUUAGCUGGGCAUGGUGGCGCACCCCUGUAAUCCCAGCUACUCAGGAGGCUGAGGCAGCAGAAUCACUGGAACCCAGGAGGCUGAGGUUGCGGUGAGCCGAGAUCAUGCCACUGCACUCCAGCCUGGGUGACAGAGACUUCGUCUCAAAAACAAAACAAAACAAAACAAAAAAACAAAAACUCAAAUUAUGUUCUGGAUUUGAAAGGGAGCAGGCAAGGCUGUGCGUUUUGUUGUUGGUUUAAUUUAUUACUGUUUGACAUCCAGUGACACUGACAUACCCUCGCCGGGC